AAGGCCAUAGUCAAUAUACAUAAAUGACAUGUGAGUUGCAUUCAUAAGGAGUUCUAAGAACUGGUUUUA
rnacentral:tRNA from 1 species